ACUGGACAGAGAUAUACUGCUAUCCAAAGUCUGUGUUGACGACCCGUCCAUGCUCCGGGUUUUGUGUCCUGUUCUGUGUCCUCGGUCUUUAAUUACAGUCUAUGGGUCAGAUAACUAGGCCCAGAAAGCAGCGGCGGAUGCGCGUUCAGGGCAAAGCUCGCCCACGAUGUUGUUUGCUUGUGCCACGCGGGUGUGACAUUCACAGCUACAUCUAAAAUGCUACAUGCUGUCCGUGGAAGUGACAUCCUGCUCAAGUGCUACUGGGAGGUUGCAGGCCUGACCUCCAGAUGAACCUACCACACUUGACUGUGGAUGUCUCAGACCAGAGUCUCUUUCUGUAGCAUUUGUUAAAAGACGCCCAGCGGCUGUGCUGCUUACCUUCCAGGGAGGAAUAGAUUGUCCUCAGUUAAACUCAUGGAGGCCAGGUGGAGAGCAGGACGCGGAGGA